rnacentral:lncRNA from 1 species
UUGAUAUCAAGUUCAAUUAUCCAUGCAGAAACGACAUUUUUUCUGUGUCCAGUAUAGCAUCGUAGAUAGAUAUAGGAAGAUGUGGUGUUAGUACCAAUGAGACAACUCUCCAUCCAAAUAACAAUUUAUAAAAGUAACCAUUAUAAGUCAAUGUACGGCCUUCAACACGGAGCCUUGGUUCACACCGAACAAAAAGCUAUAAAGGGCCCCAAAAUUACUAGUGUAAAACCAUUCAAACGAGAAAACCAACGGUCUAAUCUAUAUAAAAAACGAGAGCAUAUUUUAAAAUAUUUUCCCGCACAAUAUCUGGACAUCGGUGGACAUGCAACAUUGCACACGUUUACAAAUGAAAAACAACACUCAGACUAUAGUCAUAAAGUAGGACAAUAAAAGAACAAAAGACAAACCCGAGACACAGAAGUACAAACAAUAGACCAUCAACUCCGAAAACCAAAAGUAAAAUAGAAACAUAGAUCACGAAAAAAAAAUGCAGGGGCGACAUCAGUCCAGUGAAGAGAACUUGCUUCUUGCAAGACACUUUCCGUGAAAACAAUUUGAUAUAAAGACAAUUUUUUUUCAUUUUUUUUUUUAAAUUUCCAGCAUGAGGCAUUUGCCUCAUUUGCCUCAAUGUUGUUACGGCCCUG